rnacentral:rRNA from 1 species
AUUGAACGCUGGCGGCAGGCCUAACACAUGCAAGUCGGGCGGGGUGAUGGUGCUUGCACUAUCACUUAGCGGCGGACGGGUGAGUAAUGCUUAGGAAUCUGCCUAUUAGUGGGGGACAACAUCUCGAAAGGGAUGCUAAUACCGCAUACGUCCUACGGGAGAAAGCAGGGGAUCACUUGUGACCUUGCGCUAAUAGAUGAGCCUAAGUCGGAUUAGCUAGUUGGUGGGGUAAAGGCCUACCAAGGCGACGAUCUGUAGCGGGUAUGAGAGGAUGAUCCGCAACACUGGGACUGAGACACGGCCCAGACUCCUACGGGAGGCAGCAGUGGGGAAUAUUGGACAAUGGGGGGAACCCUGAUCCAGCCAUGCCGCGUGUGUGAAGAAGGCCUUAUGGUUGUAAAGCACUUUAAGCGAGGAGGAGGCUCUUUUGGUUAAUACCCAGAAUGAGUGGACGUUACUCGCAGAAUAAGCACCGGCUAACUCUGUGCCAGCCGCCGCCGUAA